AAAUGUAGCAUUUAAAUGUUUUUAUUUACAAUGUUGUUGUUUAGUAAAUCUAUCACUGUCGGCGCUGCAUUGUACCUCUUUAUAUAGAUUAUGUUUUUACCCAAAAGGUUUUGUGCUGGU